UACGAAGGGGGCUAGCGUUGUUCGGAAUCACUGGGCGUAAAGCGCGUGUAGGCGGAUUGUUAAGUCGGGGGUGAAAUCCUGAGGCUCAACCUCAGAACUGCCUUCGAUACUGGCGAUCUUGAGUCCGAGAGAGGUGAGUGGAACUCCUAGUGUAGAGGUGAAAUUCGUAGAUAUUAGGAAGAACACCAGUGGCGAAGGCGGCUCACUGGCUCGGUACUGACGCUGAUAUGCGAAAGCGUGGGGAGCAAACAGG
rnacentral:rRNA from 1 species